UUAAGUGUUUACGUCUGCUGUUUCUAGUCGUAUCGGUUGUGGUUGUUGUGCAAUUAGUUUAUAAGUGAACUAUGAUCUUAUUAACGUUGUGAUUUACGCACUCGGCUGUAGCGGCUUCUGUUCAAAUGUAAAUGCACCCCAAUUCUUAAUUUAUAAAGGUAUAGGUGCUGAUGGCCUACUACUUCAGUGAUAACAUACACACUAAAUCACUAACUCCAAGAGAACACCAGGUUGAACUUCUUGAUGCUGCAAAAGAGCGAAACAUAAUUGUAUGUCUUUGCUCGAGCUCUGGGAGAGUAUUCAUAGCAACAAAGUUAAUCCAGGAAUUUUCAAAUGCAAUACGAAGGCCAAUUAAGAAUGGAGGCAAACGUUCAGUAUAUCUUGUGGACAGCGUGGCACUGGUGGGACACCAAGCAACCUACAUCAAUAACUUGACAGAUUUAACUGUUGGUGAUUACAGUGAAUUCUCAAGUGUAACCGAUUGGGAGAAAGAAUUAAUGGAAAAGCAGGUGCUUGUAAUGACAAGUGACGUUUGCAAUGAUGUCGUCAGUAAUGGCAUUCUUAGGAUUGAGGACAUAAAUGUGCUUGUGCUUGAUGAAUGUCACAAUGUUUUACAGAACCAUCCAAUGAGAAGGGUCAUGCAGUAUGUGUCACUGUCUCCUAAAAGGCCUCGAAUUCUGGGACUUACAGCACCAAUCUUCAACAGUACAGCAGAUCCUGGUCGCUUGGAAGGUGAAAUGCAGAGAUUAGAAGCUGCACUUCUCAGCACAGCAGAAACAGCAAGUGACAUUGUUUCAGUACUAAGGUAUAGCACAAAACCAAAAGAAUUUGUUCUGGAAUGUGCACCUCAUCAACCAGGUGAAUUAGAUAACACUUUAGAGGAUAUCGUCACUGAUGUGUUAAACUUUAUUCAGGAUCAUCGAUACGAUCCAUUAGAAGUGUAUGAUGAUGAAUUUUUUGAGGAGCUGAAGGAUAUUCCUGACCCGAAAUCUGAUCCACUAAAAAUCCUCAACGAAUUCUUAGAUGUGCUACACACACUAGGCCCAUGGUGUGCUGACAGAGCAGCAUUCUCACUUCUGCUGCAUGUAGAAAAACUAAAAGUGAAGACACCAUAUGAGAGGCAUUUUCUUUUGCUGUGUAUGAUUUCAACUGUACUUGUGAAAAUUCGGGCUGUAUGUGAUGAUUACUUUAAGGGCCUCCCUGAAAAAGAAAAGAUACUAAAGUUUUCUUCACCAAAAGUACUUCGUCUCUUAGAAAUCAUCAAGCAGUUUAAACCUGUCCGAUGUCUUUGUGUUAGAGAAGAAAAUCAGUCUGUAAAAGACACUAAAAUAUGUACUGUUCCUGAAUGUUGUGGUGUGAUUAAAAACAGAGAAUUUCCAGAAGAAACUAUUUCUGUAUUAAGUUAUGACAGAUCUUUACUCCUGUCACUAAACUUUUCGCCAAGUGUUGAUGCAAUCAAAAUUCAGAAUCAAGUGAAAUGCAAAGACUUACCCUUCAGUAUAUGUGAUACAGCUGAAUGCCAAAGAAUGCCCAAUCACAUAUAUGAUAAUAACAGCAUGAACUGUUUUAUAAAGCAUCGUUCAUUUCCUGUUUGCAUAUACAACUGUUCUCUACGGACCUGUGGAGAUGAAGACAUUCGCGGAAAGCAUGUCCACAUGAAUGGUAGUACUCUGAAGAUUGUUAGUGAACAAUUUUCAAUAGCCAACGUGUUACGAAAUGUUUGGAAUUCGUGUAGGAGGAGCUUGCAUUCCAGUUCAGAAAGUUUGUGUCAUGUUGAACUAAAUAAACUGUCUCCUGUGAGCUUAUUAAGAACUUUGCAUAUCAAUAAUUGUGACUGUAUUCAUUGUAAAUACCAUGCUUAUGUUUCCUUACAUGAGGGAUAUAGUGAAGAACAUAAUGUGGAUGAAUGUGUUGUUAGUGUGUUGUCAAAGAAUGACAUAUCCACUUUCUGUGAGAAUUUGAGUAGUGAAGUGUCUUUAAAUAAUACAGUGACAAAAUCAUAUUUUGAUAACUAUGAUGAUCAGAAGAGUGAGCCUUCCACUCCCUGCAGAGCAGUGAUUGGAAGAGGACGUUCAUCGAAACAACUACGAAAGGCUGGACCUGGAUCUGGAAAGUUCGAUGUUCAAGGCAGAAAUUUCCGAAGUGCCUUGCAGGAUGAUGCAGAUGCACUUUGUGGCAUAGUGUUCGUUGAGAGGAAAUUCACAGCUAAGAUCCUGUAUCACCUUUUAAAUGAAAUUCGUCGUAAUGAUGAAGAUUAUAGUUUUGUGGCACCACAGUAUACAGUUGACAAAGAAGCUGAUCCUUUGACAGAGCCUCGGGAAGCAGAAACUGAACACAGAAAGCAAGAAGAAGUUUUAAAGAGGUUUCGAAUGCGAGAAUGUAAUCUUCUCAUUGGCACAUCAGUUUUGGAGGAAGGUAUAGAUAUUCCCAAAUGUAACCUGGUUAUUCGUUUUGACGUUCCUUCGAUGUAUCGCUCGUAUGUUCAGUCUAAAGGACGUGCUCGUGCUCAGGAUGCCUACUACUUAUUAAUGAUUGAAGAGAGUAGAACUGAAGACUUUGUUGAAAACUUGGCCCAGUAUUUUGAAAUUGAACAGAUGCUUCUUAGAAAAUGUGCCAAUAAAGAACCUUCAGAGGAAGAAGAAAUGGAAGCAGACAAAUGGACUGACAUGAUAGAAGCAUAUAGUCCACCAUCAAGCCCGAGCCAUUCAUCAGUUAACAUGUCAACUGCUGUAGCAUUGGUGAACAGGUAUUGUGCAAAACUGCCUAGUGAUACAUUUACAAGACUUUCCCCGCUGUGGUCCCUGAAAAGUGAAGAAAUUGACGGAAAGACCCACUACAUUUGUACUGUGCGCCUUCCUAUCAAUUCUCCUGUGAAACACAAUAUUGUGGGUCUCCCAAUGCCUACGAGGGUUCUUGCACGACGCAUUGCAGCAUUAGAAACAUGUCGUAUUCUUCAUCAAGCAAGGGAACUUGAUGAUAACCUCAUGCCAGUUGGAAAGGAACGUUUUCACAUACAUGAGGAAGGUGACCAAGUUGGUGACCCUGAUGACCCAGAGGACGUUGCUUCUCGUGAUUCAUUGGAGCCAAAGCCAGGAACAACAAAACGCCGGCAGUAUUACUAUAAGCGUAUCUCUGAUGCUCUGACAGAUUGCCGUCCAGUUGCAGGCAAGCCAUCUUUGUUGUAUAACUUGGCAAUGGUGUUAACUUGUCCUUUGCCUGAGGAACAGAACACAAGAGGUAGGAAGAUAUAUCCUCCAGAAGACUCGCUGCAGGGUUUUGGGAUUGUAACAUCAAAGACUAUACCGAAGAUCUGUCCCUUUCCUAUCUUCACACGCUCUGGUGAAGUUAGUGUCAACCUAGAACUGUCAGACACAAAUGUGGUAUUAACAAAAGAGAAAAUUGGUAUGAUCGUAACAUUCCUGAAUUACACUUUCACGAGUGUCCUGCGACUGCAGAAGUAUCUUAUGAUGUUUGACCCACAGGCAUCAGAAAAUUCUUAUUUUAUCGUACCUACGAGAAAAAAAACCAAAGAAUCUCUGGCUGAAGUUGACUGGGAAUUUCUAGAACGUAUAUAUAAAGAUUGUGAUCUUCGUCCACAACCUAUUCCUCAGGAAGAAAGAGCGCAGUUCGUAUUUGAUGCUUCCAAAUACCAUGAUGCUGUAAUAAUGCCAUGGUAUCGUAAUCAGGAUCAGCCUCAGUACUUCUAUGUUGCUGAAAUUUGCUCUCAUUUGAAUCCCAAAUCAACGUUUCCUGGAUCUGAAUACAAAACAUUUGAUGAAUAUUAUUUCAAAAAGUACAAUAUCCAAAUACAAAAUGAUACACAACCACUUCUGGAUGUUGAUCACACAUCUGCAAGACUUAAUUUUCUGACUCCACGGUAUGUUAACCGGAAAGGGGUUGCUUUACCUACCAGCAGCGAAGAAACAAAAAAGGCAAAACGUGAAAAUCUGGAACAGAAGCAGAUUUUGGUUCCAGAGUUAUGUACUGUUCAUCCUUUUCCAGCAUCUUUAUGGCGAAAAGCUGUUUGCCUCCCAUGUAUUCUUUAUAGGAUAAACGCACUCUUACUUGCAGAUCAAAUUAGAUGUCAAGUAUCUAAUAAUAUUGCACUUGGCCAAGAGAAACUUCCAGCAGAUUUUGAGUGGCCUCCAUUGAACUUUGGAUGGAGUCUAGCAGAUGUAUUGAAAAGAUCCAAAGAAAAUGCUGCUAAAGUACCUGAAAUCAAAGUCGUUACUUUUGGGCAGGAAACAGUGACAUCUAAAUUAAGUAAGACAAGUAAUGAAACAGAAGUAAAAGAUAUUUAUUGUGAGCAAAAGAAGAAGACUGCAAAUGAGAUCUUGACAGAAGAAGAGAAUAAAUUGUCUGGUGAAUGGAUGGAAAUUGGUACAUGGUCAAAUGACAUGGCAGAAAGAAAUCCAAUGGAAUCAGGUGAUAUUGAUGAAUUUGAUCCAAAUAUUGCUCUACCAUCAAAUUUAACAUUGCUUGGAAAUGAUUCAGAGUUAACAGACUUACAUAAUGGAGAAGGAAGCAGUGACUGGGGAACAGGAAUUGAAGCUCAGUUUGAAGGAAAGGUACGAUAUGGGUCACCAAGUAGCUGGAUGAGAGCAGACCAUUUUACUAAUUUUGAUGGUGACUGUAUAGGAUAUGAAUCAGAUGAAUCUUACAAUGAGCUUGUACAUGAAACAGACAGUUUUGACUGCAAUGCUUUUCAAGUACAUUCAGGAAUUAGAAUUGAAUUCAAAAGUGAUAAUGUUGCAGAGGCUGUAGAGGAUGAACCACAGACCAAGCAACCAGCUUUAAAAAGCAGCAGUGCAGUUGUGGCAACGAGUGUUGCAGCCAGUGAAGUGCCAUGGAAUUGGGACAUGGCAGUCGCAUUAGAUUCACUUGUUAAUCAUUUCAGUCAUUCUGACAGUGACAGUAAAUCUGAUGCUGAAUCUGACAAAAUUACAGAAAUGUAUGCAAAUCAUUUUGAUGAAGCAACAAAGAAGAACAUAUGUUAUAUAAGAAAGAGUGGUAUACUAAUAAGAAAAGAUCAGCCUCUGGAGAUUGUGAGAUCCCUGUCCUCUUGUACAGGGCAGUUUCAGAAUAUUCCUGUUGAAAUACAUAUACAAAGGUCUGUAAAUAGCAGUCUUCUGCAGAACAGCUUCUCACAUUCACAUUUUGUAGCUGGCUGUAAAAUAGUCUUCAAUGUAGGUAAACUUUCACUAGAUAAUGGCGAUGAUGACUUAGAUACCAAAGAAGCUUUAUACACAGCUGGUAGUGUAACAGUGUGUGACAGGAGAUUGUCAUGGAAUGUUGAUGGUGAUGAGGAGGAAGAUAUAAUUAGUAAAUUUAGUUUUGAUGCACAGCCAGAACUUGAAGGGCAUCCUGGCCCAAGUCCAAGUAUAAUACUUCAAGCAUUAACAAUGUCAAAUGCCAAUGAUGGAAUUAACUUGGAAAGACUGGAAACAAUAGGUGACUCAUUUUUGAAAUAUGCUAUCACAACGUACUUAUAUUGUACGUAUGACAAUAUCCAUGAGGGAAAACUAAGCCAUUUGAGAUCCAAACAGGUGAGCAAUCUUAACUUAUACAGACUUGGACGGAGGAAAGUGUUUGGAGAAAGUAUGAUUGCUACAAAGUUUGAGCCUCAUGAUAACUGGUUGCCACCAUGUUACUAUGUUCCUCGUGAAUUGGAACAAGCUCUUGUGGAAGCUGGUAUUCCUGCUAGUCACUGGAACCGUGCUGAUAUACCUAAUUUAUUACCGUUGUCACGUGAGGAGAUAUGUGAGCUUGUUAGAGAACGCUGCAAUCAGUUUCAGCGUUGUAGAGAUUGUGAUGAAGGUGAAGUGUCCAUACGUGCAGAAGAGUAUGACAGUGUUGAUAAAAUGCCGUGCUUCAUUCCUUAUAACCUGAUAACACAACAUAGUAUUCCAGACAAGAGUGUAGCUGACUGUGUGGAAGCGCUUAUUGGAGCAUAUCUCAUUGCAUGUGGGCCAAGAGGUGCCCUGCUUUUCAUGGCAUGGUUAGGAAUUUGUGUUCUUCCAAGAGAAGAAAUUAUUUUGAAAAGCAGUAGUCCAAACCUCAUUCCUGAGGAGAGACCAGUUGGUAGUUUAAAACCAGCAUUUGUAUGUGAAGACAGUGAUGGGACUGCUGUCUGGAAGCAGGUGAGAUAUGGCACAUUGCAGUCACCUCCAUCACCACUUCUUAGGAAUGUCACAAAUCCAGAGCGGAAGUUGGAAGCCUUACUUGAUGGAUAUGAUGUAUUUGAACAAAAAAUUCAGUAUAAAUUUCGUGAUAGGAGUUACUUGCUACAGUCACUCACACAUGCUUCCUACUCACCAAACAGACUUACAGAUUGUUACCAAAGGCUUGAAUUCCUUGGAGAUGCUGUUCUGGAUUACCUUAUCACUCGUCAUCUGUAUGAAGAUUCACGUCAACAUUCUCCGGGUGCUUUGACUGACCUACGCUCAGCUCUUGUGAAUAAUACAAUAUUUGCAUCACUUGCUGUUCGUUAUGGCUUUCACAAAUACUUCCGUCACUUAUCACCAGGAUUAAAUGAGGUUGUUGAUAGAUUUGUUCGUAUUCAAGAGGAAAAUGGACAUACAAUUAGUGAAGAGUACUAUUUAAUUGAAGAAGAAGAAUGUGAAGAAGCUGAAGAUGUUGAAGUCCCAAAAGCACUGGGAGAUGUUUUUGAGUCAGUUGCUGGAGCGAUCUUUCUGGAUAGCAACAUGUCUCUCGAUGCUGUUUGGAGAGUGUACUAUCGGAUGAUGAAAUCAGAAAUAGAGCAAUUCAGCACUAAUGUACCAAAAUCACCAAUCAGAGAACUUCUUGAACUGGAGCCAGAAACAGCAAAAUUUGGGAAACCAGAGAAACUGGCCGAUGGUCGCCGUGUGCGUGUCUCAGUGGAAGUUUUUGGAAAAGGAAUUUUUAAAGGAAUUGGUCGUAAUUACCGAAUUGCCAAAUGUACUGCAGCAAAAUGUGCCUUGAAGCAACUUAAAAAGAAAGGAUUACUUUCUAAAAAGUUAUGAAGUAUGUUCGAGCAUCAUUCUAUUAAUUUGUUUUCUCAGCCAAGAGACUUCCAGCAAAUUAAUGAAGGAGUCUCUGUAGUGUUACAGUUUACUUACUCUUAAGCAGUGUACCGUUUAUAUGUCUGAUUUGAAUAUGGGUAUUCAUGGUGAAACAGAUCUGAAUAUUGGAUCCGAAUUGCUUUCCAGGCAUGAUCUAAGAAGGUUCAUCAUAUCAGACUGUCUCAAGAAAUAAAACUGGCAUUGAGUGGUUUUCCUACAUAAUUUAAAAAGGCUGGUAUACUUUCUUUAGUAAGCCAUAAUGAGUUGUUCUGUCACCCUUGUCAAACUGAUUCAGUGACUCACAAUCUUAUUAUUGAUGAGACAUUAACUCUUAACAUUCAUUCCUUUUUUCCUUGUAAGAUGGACCUGCUUGUAUUAAAUAUUCAGUACAGUAUUUUUAUAAUUUGACAAAUGAGUGAAAUGGCCAUACUAAAAUAACACAAUAAAAUUUAGUUUAUUCACUGUAGCGAACAACUGAAACACAGUCAUUUGACUUUAGUAACCCUAAUUUUUUGUUAUUAAAUAAAUACUGAUAUUCUCAGCUGUUAAUAAAACUUUUUAGGAUUUCAGAUGGGUAAAUGAAUAAAGAGUGAAUGAAAUACAUACAGAUGGGUGACUGUCUUUUGUCUGAUGUCUUUCUUCUCAAAGUACCAUCUGAGCAGUGUGAUAUAUCUCUCCUGUAUACUUCUCCUUUUGUGAGACCAUCCAAAUAUACAUAAAGACUUAUUGUUCAUUUUGUUGUGUGCCCUGUUUACACUGCCUCAUUUGCUAACCAGAUGAAUUGAAUCCUUUCAACCUUUCAGAUUUAGUUGUUGACUCUAGUGUCUCUUUUAUUUUAAGCACUGAGAGAUUUUUUUUUAUAAUGAUGUGCUCAGUGAGAAGUAUUUUCCUGUUAGGAAAAUACUGAAAUAAGGAAUAAUUACCUUUAAAAAAUAGUUUAAUGCACAAGUCAGAGAGGUUUUAAUGCGAUACGAAAAAAGUACGGAGUGUAGCCUCAUCAGAAGGUGCUGAAUAACAAAUUAAAGUAAUUGUGAAAAUCUGAAAUUGUGGUGUGUCAAUUUAUCAUACGUAGUAUGAACAUGUGUAGUUGCUCCAUAAGCUCCAAAUAUUAUGGAAAUGUAAAAGUGAUCACCAUGUAGAAGUUGUGCAUUGUAUUUGACAUUUGUAAUUUCACUUUUCAGGUAAAAACAUUAUCUGCAUUGAAAAGAUUAAUGUUAUUGUCAGAUGGUAUUGGUAAUACUGGAUGUCAAACUAAAUGUUAUAGUGUCAAUUAGAACACAUUUUUUGGUUCUCUCUUUGUUCUUUAAACUGUACAGAAGAAUUUUUCUGGUAAAUUAUACAAUUUUUUGUUGAAAUAUUGAAGUUAAUGUAAAAAGUUUUACAGUGUGAAUGAACUGACCAUGUUUUGCUUUAACAAUUUGUUCAAUGUAUAACUAGUCUAGAAUUCAGACAAGUAUCAUUGAAGAUAGAUGGCGCAGUCAGUUUACUGUUCUGUGAAAUAACAUCUCUCAUUUCCUUUUCUGUUUCAAAAAUUUAAUACAUGGAAAAAUUAGUAUGAAAAUAAUCAGUGCCACUGGAGAUAAAUAAAUAUUUUUACCAUAAAA